GAUGAACGCUGACAGAAUGCUUAACACAUGCAAGUCUACUUGAACUUCGGUUUGGGUGGCGGACGGGUGAGUAACGCGUAAAGAACUUGCCUCACAGAUAGGGACAACAUUUGGAAACGAAUGCUAAUACCUGAUAUUAUGAUUUUAGGGCAUCCUAGAAUUAUGAAAGCUAUAUGCACUGUGAGAGAGCUUUGCGUCCCAUUAGCUAGUUGGAGAGGUAACGGCUCACCAAGGCGAUGAUGGGUAGCCGGCCUGAGAGGGUGAUCGGCCACAAGGGGACUGAGACACGGCCCUUACUCCUAUGGGAGGCAGCAGUGGGGAAUAUUGGACAAUGGACCAAGAGUCUGAUCCAGCAAUUCUGUGUGCACGAUGAAGUUUUUCGGAAUGUAAAGUGCUUUCAGUUGGGAAGAAAAAAAUGACGGUACCAACAGAAGAAGUGACGGCUAAAUACGUG
rnacentral:rRNA from 1 species